CGCUGGCGGCGCGCCUAACACAUGCAAGUCGAACGAGUGGAGUUCCUUCGGGAACAAAGCUAGUGGCGGACGGGUGAGUAACACGUGAGGAACCUGCCUUUCAGAGUGGGAUACCGUUUGGAAACGAACGUUAAUACCGCAUAAUGUAUAUUGAUCGCAUGGUCGAUAUACCAAAGAUUUAUCGCUGAGAGAUGGGCUCGCGUCUGAUUAGAUAGUUGGUGAGGUAACGGCUCACCAAGUCGACGAUCAGUAGCCGGACUGAGAGGUUGAACGGCCACAUUGGAACUGAGAUACGGUCCAGACUCCUACGGGAGGCAGCAGUGGGGAAUAUUGGGCAAUGGGCGAAAGCCUGACCCAGCGACGCCGCGUGAAGGAAGAAGGCCUUCGGGUUGUAAACUUCAGUCAACAGGGAAGAAACAAAUGACGGUACCUGUGGAGGAAGCCACGGCUAACUACGUG
rnacentral:rRNA from 1 species